UCCUGCCCCAUGAUUAAUUAAAUGGCUGCAGUAUCCUGACUGUGCAAAGGUAGCAUAAUAAUUAGUCUUUUAAUUGAGGACUAGAAUGAAUGGAUUAAUGAGAUAUUUAUUUUAUUAAUAUUAAAUUUAGAAUUUUAUUUUUUAGUAAAAAAGCUAAAUUAUUUUUUUGGGACGAUAAGACCCUAUAGAACUUAAUUUUAUAUUUAUAAAAUGUUAUUGGAUUUAAUUUAAUAUUCUUAUUAUUAAUAAUUUUUUAUUGGGGUGAUAAAUAAAUUUUAACUUUAUUUUUUUAUUUCAUUAAUUUAUGUAUUUUUGAUCCAUUUUUGAUUAUAAGAAAAGUUACCUUAGGGAUAACAGCGUAAUUUUAAUGGGGAGUUCAUAUCUAUAUUAAAGUUUGCGACCUCGAUGUUGAAUUAAGAUUAGUUUUGGGGGUAG
rnacentral:rRNA from 1 species